UAAUUAAUGUGGCAAGGGUGAUUAUCUCAGAUCUCUGAUGUAUAGCUCUAUAAAUUAGUACUUAAUUUUAAAGACUACCCAGUGGUGGCAAUCAAUUCAAGAUCAGGGUAAUAAGAAGUGUUUUGUUACUUCAUUUGAGUAUUGUAUUUUGCUGUAGUGAAGGUGGGUCUGUCAUUUAAGUAUAUAAUAAACUGAAGAGCUUGAUUGAUUAAAUCA